rnacentral:rRNA from 1 species
CGAACGGGUGAGUAAUGCGUGACCAACCUGCCCCAUGCUCCAGAAUAGCUCUUGGAAACGGGUGGUAAUGCUGGAUGCUCCAACUUGACGCAUGUCUUGUUGGGAAAGUGUUUAGUGGCAUGGGAUGGGGUCGCGUCCUAUCAGCUUGUAGGCGGGGUAAUGGCCCACCUAGGCUUCGACGGGUAGCCGGCCUGAGAGGGCGGAAGGCCACAUUGGGACUGAGAUACGGCCCAGACUCCUACGGGAGGCAGCAGUA